rnacentral:rRNA from 1 species
UACGUAGGCAGCAAGCGUUGUUCGGAGUUACUGGGCGUAAAGGGUGCGUAGGCGGUUGUUUAAGUUUGGUGUGAAAUCUCCCGGCUCAACCGGGAGGGUGCGGCGAAUACUGAACGGCUAGAGUGCGGGAGAGGAGAGUGGAAUUCCUGGUGUAGCGGUGAAAUGCGUAGAUAUCAGGAGGAACACCUGUGGCGAAAGCGGCGCACUGGACCAUAACUGACGCUGAGGCGCGAAAGCUAGGGGAGCAAACAGG